rnacentral:rRNA from 1 species
CCAAUAGCGUAUAUUAAAGUUGUUGCAGUUAAAAAGCUCGUAGUUGAAUUUCGGGAUCAGUACGCUGGUCGUGCCUUCGGUAUGUACUGGUGUUACUGGUUCCUACCUUCUGACGAACCGUCAUGUCAUUAAUUUGGUGUGGCGGGGAAUCAGGACUGUUACUUUGAAAAAAUUAGAGUGUUUAAAGCAGGCUCGCGCUUGAAUACAUUAGCAUGGAAUAAUGAAAUAGGACGUUCGAUCCUAUUUUGUUGGUUUCUAGGAUUGACGUAAUGAUUAAUAGGGAUAGUUGGGGGCAUUAGUAUUCAAUUGUCAGAGGUGAAAUUCUUGGAUUUAUUGAAGACUAACUACUGCGAAAGCAUUUGCCAAGGAUGUUUUCAUUAAUCAAGAACGAAAGUUAGGGGAUCGAAGACGAUCAGAUACCGUCGUAGUCUUAACCAUAAACUAUGCCGACUAGGGACCGGAUGAUGUUAAUUUUUUAAUGACUCAUUCGGCGCCUUACG